CGCGGUAAUUCCAGCUCCAAUAGCGUAUAUUAAAGUUGUUGCGGUUAAAAAGCUCGUUAGUCGGAUCUGUGUCUGGGACGGUGCCGGACCACCCUGGCGGUCCGUCGUGUCGCGGCCGGCCCGUGUCGCGGGACCCACGUGUCCCGUCGGCGCGGUCGCCGUCGCGCUCGUCAGCCGUCUCGGGGUGUUAGUUACCGGCACGUCGGCCCGGACGUAUUGUCGGCAGGCGGACACGUGUCUCGUGCUUCCGGCGCGCCGCGCGGCCCACGCGUCGCGCGGCCGUCGGUGUUCGACGACGGCGGCCGCCUACUCCAAUCUUGCUGCGCGGUGCUCUUCACCGAGUGCCGUCGGCGGGCCGACACGUUUACUUUGAACAAAUUAGAGUGCUCAAAGCAGGCUCGAAUCUGGCGGGGCGGCUUCACGGCCGUCUCGUCAAAAGGCCCUGAAUACUGGUCGCAUGGAAUAAUGGAACAAGACCUCGGUCCCGCGCAUCUCCGCCCUUCGCGGGCGCGCGAAAUCGCCCUCCGGGGCGUUUCCGUGCGCGGGCCGCCGGGCCGCGGGCGCCAGUCGCCCGCGCGUCCCGCCGGGCCGGUUUUCGGGACCGGAGGUAAUGAUCAACAGAGACGGGCGGGGGCAUUCGUACCGAGACGUUAGAGGUGAAAUUCUUGGAUCGUCUCGAGACGAACUGACGCGAAAGCAUUUGCCAAGUACGUUCUCGUAUGAUCAAGAACGAAAGUUAGAGGUUCGAAGGCGAUCAGAUACCGCCCUAGUUCUAACUGUAAACGAUGCCAGCUAGCGAUCCGCCGGCGUUUCAUUAACGACCCGGCGGGCAGCUUCCGGGAAACCGAAGCUUUUCGGUUCCGGGGGAAGUAUGAUUGCAAAGUUGAAACUUAAAGGAAUUGACGGAAGGGCACCACCAGGAGUGGAGCCUGCGGCUUAAUUGACUCAACACGGGAAACCUCACCAAGCCCGGACACCGGAAAGAUUGACAGAUUGAGAGCUCUUUCUUGAUUCGGUGGGUGGUGGUGCAUGGCCGUUCUUAGUUGGUGGAGCGAUCUGUCGGUUUAAUUCCGAUAACGAACGAGACUCUGUC
rnacentral:ncRNA from 1 species